UUAUCAUCCCCGUCCUCAGGUGCCCGCUGCCGCAAGGCAAAGGGAGAAUCGGGAAGGCGGUUGGAGUCCGCCGCGUGCCCAACGCUGUAAGGAAGAUGACCCCCGCUCAAUGCCACUGGCCGCCAAGGCCGGGAAGGCGCGGCGGGUCAGAUGAAUCCAAGCCAGAAGACCGGCCUGAACGUUCAUCGCGCU
rnacentral:ncRNA from 2 species